rnacentral:rRNA from 1 species
CCUACGGGAGGCAGCAGUGGGGAAUAUUGGACAAUGGGCGGAAGCCUGAUCCAGCAACGCCGCGUGAGGGAUGACGGCCUUCGGGUUGUAAACCUCUUUCAGCGGGGGCGAAGUUUUGUCUUUUUGGGCGAAGUGACGGUACCCGCAGAAGAAGCACCGGCCAACUACGUGCCAGCAGCCGCGGUAAUACGUAGGGUGCGAGCGUUGUCCGGAAUUAUUGGGCGUAAAGGGCUCGUAGGCGGUUUGUCACGUCGGGAGUGAAAACUCGGGGCUUAACUCCGAGCCUGCUUCCGAUACGGGCUGACUAGAGGUAUGCAGGGGAGAACGGAAUUCCUGGUGUAGCGGUGAAAUGCGCAGAUAUCAGGAGGAACACCGGUGGCGAAGGCGGUUCUCUGGGCAUUACCUGACGCUGAGGAGCGAAAGUGUGGGGAGCGAACAGGAUUAGAUACCCUGGUAGUCCACACCGUAAACGUUGGGCGCUAGGUGUGGGGCUCAUCACGAGUCGUGCGCAGCUACGCAUAAGUACGCCCGCCGUCGGGAGGUACGGCCGCGACGGACGUAAACGUACGAAAGUAGAAGUUAAGUACGGCGUUGAGACGUUGCCGAACGGACGACGACGAGGGAGGAGG